GUAGUCCACGCCCUAAACGAUGUCAACUGGUUGUUGGUGGGGUUAAACCCAUUAGUAACGAAGCUAACGCGUGAAGUUGACCGCCUGGGGAGUACGGCCGCAAGGUUAAAACUCAAAGGAAUUGACGGGGACCCGCACAAGCGGUGGAUGAUGUGGAUUAAUUCGAUGCAACGCGAAGAACCUUACCUACCCUUGACAUGCCAGGGAGCCUCUUGAGAGAGAGGUGUGCCCGAAAGGGAGCCUGGACACAGGUGCUGCAUGGCUGUCGUCAGCUCGUGUCGUGAGAUGUUGGGUUAAGUCCCGCAACGAGCGCAACCCUUGUCACUAGUUGCUACGGGAAAGCCGAGCACUCUAGUGAGACUGCCGGUGACAAACCGGA
rnacentral:rRNA from 1 species